rnacentral:rRNA from 1 species
CAAGCGUUGCUCGGAAUCACUGGGCGUAAAGGGCGCGUAGGCGGGAUGGCAAGUCGGUCGUGAAAUCCUUCGGCUCAACCGAAGAACGUCGGCCGAUACUGCCGUUCUUGAGGGAUGCAGAGGAGAUUGGAAUUCCCGGGGUAGCGGUGAAAUGUGUAGAGAUCGGGAGGAACACCGGUGGCGAAGGCGGGUCUCUGGGCAUCUCCUGACGCUGAGGCGCGAAAGCGUGGGGAGCAAACGGG